UACAGAGACCUCAAGCGUUAUCCGGAAUCAUUGGGCGUAAAGCGUACCGAUAGGUGGUUAAGAAAGUCAGAUGUGAAAUCUCCGAGCUCAACUCGGAAUCUGUCAUUUGAAACUUCUUGACUAGAGGGGCAAAGAGGAAGCUGGAACGAACGGUGUAGUAGUGAAAUGCGUUGAUAUCGUUCGGAACACCAAUAGCGUAGGCAGGCUUCUGGGUGCCACCUGACACUGCUAGGACGGAAAGCGUGGGGAGCGAAUGGG
rnacentral:rRNA from 1 species